GCCUGGCUGGCUCAGUGGGAGGAGCACGCGACUCUUCAUUUCAGGGUCAUGAGUUCGAGCCCCAUGCCGGGCG
rnacentral:tRNA from 1 species